rnacentral:rRNA from 1 species
UACGUAGGGUGCGAGCGUUAAUCGGAAUUACUGGGCGUAAAGGGAGCGCAGGCGGAUCUGUAAGUUAGAUGUGAAAUACCCGGGCUUAACCUGGGAAUGGCAUUUAAGACUGCAAGUCUAGAGUUUGUCAGAGGGGGGUAGAAUUCCAAGUGUAGCAGUGAAAUGCGUAGAGAUUUGGAGGAAUACCGGUGGCGAAGGCGGCCCCCUGGGAUAGAACUGACGCUCAGGCUCGAAAGCGUGGGUAGCAAACAGG